rnacentral:rRNA from 1 species
UUCGGAUCACUGGGCUUAAGGGCGCGUAGGCGGGCUGUCCAGUCUGGGGUGAAAUGCCGCGGCUCAACCGCGGAACGGCCUCGGAUACUGACGGCCUCGAGGGAGGUAGGGGCAUGCGGAACUGUAGGUGGAGCGGUGAAAUGCGUUGAUAUCUACAGGAACUCCGGUGGCGAAGGCGGCGUGCUGGACCUCUUCUGACGCUGAGGCGCGAAAGCUAGGGGAGCGAACGGGAUUAGAUACCCCGGUAGUCCUAGCCCUAAACGAUGGGUACUAGAUAGUGGGCCUGAUCUGGGCUCACUGUCGAAGUUAAAAUGCUAAGUACCCCGCCUGGGGAGUAUGGUCGCAAGGCUGAAACUCAAAGAAAUUGACGGGGGCUCACACAAGCGGUGGAGCAUGUGGCUUAAUUCGAGGCUACGCGAAGAACCUUAUCCUGGACUUGACAUGUGCGAAAGCGCUCGGUAGUAGAACCCGGAAACGGGGACGAACCAGCAAUGGGAGCCGAGUACAGGUGCCGCAUGGCUGUCGUCAGCUCGUGUCGUGAGAUGUCGGGUUAAGUCCCAUAACGAGCGAAACCCCUACCUUCAGUUGCUACCGCAAGGGCACUCUGGAGGGACUGCCUGGGUCAACCAGGAGGAAGGCGGGGAUGACGUCAAGUCCUCAUGGCCUUUAUGUCCAGGGCUGCACACGUGCUACAAUGGCGCGCACAGAGUGAAGCGACCCGGCGACGGGGAGCCAAUCACAGAAAUCGCGCCCCAGUUCAGAUCGCAGCUGCAACUCGCCUGCGUGAAGCCGGAAUCGCUAGUAAUCGCGGGUCAGCAACACCGCGGUGAAUGUGUUCCUGAGCCUUGUACACACCGCCCGUCAAGCCACGAAAGAGAGGGACGUCCGAAGCCGCCUUCACCGGGCGUCGAGACGACUUCUUGAUUGGGACUAGUCGUACAGUACCCGUAUCACUAGUGCGCGCUGCAGUCGACCAUAUGGAGAGCUCCACGCGUGAUGCAUAGCUGAGUAUUCUA